rnacentral:rRNA from 1 species
GACGAGCGCUGGCGGCGUGCUUAACACAUGCAAGUCGAACGAAGAGCGAUGGAAGCUUGCUUCUCUCAAUCUUAGUGGCGAACGGGUGAGUAACGCGUAAUCAACCUGCCCUUCAGAGGGGGACAACAGUUGGAAACGACUGCUAAUACCGCAUACGAUCUAAUCUCGGCAUCGAGGAUAGAUGAAAGGUGGCCUCUACAUGUAAGCUAUCACUGAAGGAGGGGAUUGCGUCUGAUUAGCUAGUUGGAGGGGUAACGGCCCACCAAGGCGAUGAUCAGUAGCCGGUCUGAGAGGAUGAACGGCCACAUUGGGACUGAGACACGGCCCAGACUCCUACGGGAGGCAGCAGUGGGGAAUCUUCCGCAAUGGACGAAAGUCUGACGGAGCAACGCCGCGUGAGUGAUGACGGCCUUCGGGUUGUAAAGCUCUGUUAAUCGGGACGAAAGGCCUUCUUGCGAAUAGUGAGAAGGAUUGACGGUACCGGAAUAGAAAGCCACGGCUAACUACGUG